UCCAUCCGCACAAAGGGCUGAGACCUCUGGGGAAGGCAGGUGUGGUCCACAAGAUGAGACUGCUGGGUGUUCUCCUGUGCCUGGUGACAGGUCCCCAUGGUGUUUUGUCUCAGGUGCAGCUGCAGGAGUCAAGGCCUGGCCUGGUGAAGCCCACAGAGACCCUGUCCCUCACCUGCACGGUCACUGGAUUCUCCAUCACAACCGGUGGUUACAGUUGGAAUUGGAUCCGUCAGCCCCAAGGAAAGGGCCUGGAGUGGAUGGGGUACAUAAAUAGCAAUGGUGGCACUAACUACAACCCAUCCCUCAAGAGCCGCAUCUCCAUCUCCAGAAACACAGACAAGAACGAGUUCUCUCUGCAGCUGAACUCUGCCAGUGCAGAAGACACAGCCAUAUAUUUCUGCACAAGAGACACAGCGAUUUGGUACAAGUGGGAGCUCAGACAGAAACCUCCCCGUAGGGGCACUCGGGACCAGCAGAGGGCGCUCAACACACAUUGUUGUGUCCCGUGUGAGGUGCAGUUGGUGGAGUCCAGGGGAGGCUUGGUGCACCCUGCAAAACUCAGCAAAGUCACAUUUGUGCUCAGCACUGAAAGAGGGGAACAGGAACAUCACCAGGUGCCCCUCUCUGUCCAGGAGCUGGAACAGGAAGCAGUUUGUUCACAACUUCGGAGAGCCUAG